rnacentral:rRNA from 1 species
CCUACGGGAUGCAGCAGUGAGGAAUCUUUGUCAAUGGGCGCGAGCCUGAACCUGCAAAGUAGCGUGAAGGAUGACUGCCCUACGGGUUGUAAACUUCUUUUAUAAAGGAAUAAAGUGAGGCACGGUUGCCUUUUUGUAUGUACUUGACGAAUAAGGAUCGGCUAACUCCGUGCCAGCAGCCGCGGUAAUACGGAGGAUCCGUGCGUUAUCCGGAUUUAGUGGGUUUAAAGGGAGCGUAGAUGGGUUGUUAAGUCAGUUGUGAAAGUUUGCGGCUCAACCGUAAAAUUGCAAGUGAUACUGGCAGUCUUGAGUACAGUUGAGGUAGGCGGAAUUCGUGGUGUAGCGGUGAAAUGCUUAGAUAUCACGAAGAACUCCGAUUGCGAAGGCAGCUUACUAAACUGCCACUGACAUUGAUGCUCGAAAGUGUGGGUAUCAAACAGGAUUAGAUACCCCAGUAGUC